CCAUGCUAGAUGGGGAGUUGGCGGUGCCCUGUACCUGCAAUCCGCCUUAGCAGGAUUGAAUUCCGGAGUUGAGGCUUAGCCCUGUGAGGUCUGACUUUUGCAAGUGGCGAUGAGGAUUGGGUCCUGCGCAACGCAACUCCAUGAACCCCGCCAGGUCCGGGAGGAAGCAACGGUAAGUGGACACUUGCGUGUGCCGCAGGGUAGCCUGGUCUGAGUUAACUACAAGAGUUCCGCUCGGAGGGCUAUGUCGAAAUCCGGUGCAUGG
rnacentral:SRP_RNA from 1 species